GAAAAAUACAACCCCUUAAGUGCUGAUUAAAACGGUUGGGUCUUAGGCUGUGAUUCAACAAUAGGACACAAUCCAAGUGUUCCUUUUCUCGUCACGUGAGAUGAACUGAGCAGCAGGGCCACUCUCUCAAGCCAAGGCCUACUUUAUGACAAAGACCCAGCCUAGCGAGAACAUUGAUAACCUGUAUUUUGAUUUCACACAACAGGUUCAAAGGCAGUUAGUUCCAGAAGGCUGUCCCCAAACCAAGCUUCAUUCUUUCUAACUGCAAUCUUAGAGGGGCUUCAUGCCCUUUACCAAACUAGUGGCAGCUCUGCAUCACCUCUGCCAGCCAGUCCUUCCUGCAGUCUGACCACCAUGGCUUUCCCGCAAGAACCAGUACUCCAAACACCAAAAAUACCUUUAAUGCAGUCACUUGGAAACUGAAAAGGUAAAGUCACCCCGCAGCUGGAUGCCACACAACAGGAGACCACACAAGAGACCUCCAACUUUCAGAACCCCCAGUUCACCCCACAUCGGCAUAUACUGCAUCUUUGUCUUUGGUAUCUUUAGAAGGAUGGCUUAAAACUUGAUAUCUUUCUGAAUUUUCCAAAGCGUAUCUGCACUCUUUACCAUCUGGGCCUCCUCUGCAGAGCUCAACUUUACCUUUAUAAUAUCUGAGAUGCCGUUUUCUCCUAUGAUACAAGGCACACUGAGAAACACCUCUUCUUUGAUUCCGUAUAGACCUUUAACAUUGGUGGAAACUGGAUAUGUUUUCCUGAGGUUCCUCAGAAUGCUUUCUGCAAUAUCAGCUACAGACAGGCCAAUGGCCCAGGAAGUAUAGCCUUUCAUUUUGAUAAUUUUAUAGGCACUGGCAAUCACAUCUUUGUGGACAUUUCCCCACUGCUCGGGGUCUUUGCUAGUUCCUAUCUCUGAAUUCAGCUCUUUCAGAGGCACACCGGCGAUGUUCACUCCACUCCACACGGGGACACUUGAGUCUCCAUGCUCUCCAAGGACCCACCCGUGGCAGCUUUCAGAGUGGAUGCCAAGCCUCUCCCCAAGCAUGAAACGGAAGCGAGCAGUAUCAAGGUUACAGCCACUUCCAAUGAUACGGUUUUUGGGAAACCCGCUCAGUUUCCAGGUUACGUAAGUUAAGAUAUCCACUGGGUUGGAAACAAUAAUCAGUUUGCAGUGGGGGCUAUGCUUGACAAUAUUGGCAAUCAUCACCUUAAAGAUGGAUACGUUUCGCUGGACUAAAUUCAGGCGCGUUUCGUCUUUCGCCUGGCGUGCACCUGCUGUGAUAAUAACUACCUCAGAGUUGGCAGUGACAUGGAAAUCUUUGCUGCAGACAAUCUUUGGCAUUCUCACGAAGACACUGCCAUGCUGGAGAUCCAUCGUCUCGCCCUUCAUUUUUGCUUCAUCACUGUCAACAAGGGCAAGCUCAUUGGCCAGGCCUUUUGCUAUAAUGCUGAUGGCACAGGCCAUUCCGACUGAUCCGGUUCCUAUAAUGGAGACCUUGUUGUGGAGAACGGGCUCUUCGGAGCUGAUGUGCUUGAUAAGUUUACCCUUCACGGUCGACAUGGUAGACCUGGGAAUGGCGUUCCAACAGGCCCGGUUGAGGGGGGCACCCAGCACCCGACUGGGCCACAGAGCUAUGCCCUGGUCCCUGAAAUCCACUCUGGCUGCACCCAUUCUUUUGCUGGCCCGCAGGAUGCCCGCAGCCCAGGCCAUGGCGGCUCACUUGGGUGGAGGAAGUGAACCGAGCGAGGAAGACAGUUGAGGCCCAACGGUUGGUCGCCCGCAGUACAGGCGCAGCCCCUCCUCCCACUGCGGCUGCGCGUGGGCUCAGCGCAGGCUGGGUCUUCCGGCUCCAGCAACAGCAAGUCUGCACCGAGGCUUAAAAAGGACUUUCACCCCAGCAAGGAAAUACUGGAGGUCAUGGAAACAUUCCUGAGGACAAGGGUGGAGAGGGAGAAGGCAAGAAGCCCGCGCUACUGCACCGAAGACGCACUGAAGAGCAGCAGGCAUCAUGAACACAGUCCAUACAAGCCAUGAGAGAAGCCAGUUUCUCAGAAGAGCAGAAACAUCGAGCCCAAGACCUCUGGCCUGGGUGGAGCAUCUCCAUUAGCCUUUCAGCAUGACGGAAGAUACGAUAUAGAAGAGUCUACAUAUUCUCACAUACGGUAAUGCCAACAAAUGGUGACUGCCAGGCCUCUGAGAUGACAGUGCCCAGCACAGGGCCACAGGCAAAGCACAUGCCCAGCCCCUUCCAUAAAGUUACAACUGCAAUAACCAAGAAAUAGUGGGACAGCUAACACGUCACCUUCUAAGGAAAAACAAGGACAGUGUAGUCUAGUUAUGAAUAAGCUAACCCUCUCCAGAAAUCCUCUGGCCACCAAUUAAUACCUAGUAAAUCAUAAAAGAAGACGAAUGACAAAAUUAACAAGUCAAUGCAUGAGGAACAUGCCAAUAAGUAAAUGGAAGUCUGCUUUCUUCCACAAACAGGAAACUACCACUUAAUAUUGCAUUUUUCUCAACUAUUUCCUAAGCCACCUGCCCCGGUACCAGUCAACUCACCCCACCCCCAGUGUACUCAGCUGGGCUGGAUGGCCAUGUGCACAGCUGGUUUAGCCAGGUGGCCAGGAACCUACAGGAAAGGUAUUUGCAUUUCCUCCUCCCCAUAGUAAAACUACUGAGAUGAAAUAUUGCCUCAUUAAUACUCAAAUGAUCAAUGAAUUCACAUAGAGCAAUCAAGCUGUACUUGCUGACUCAGUACCAAUCAGGACAUGGGUGCUGAACUUGGAGUGGUUUCCAAGAGCCUCACCUUUAACCUUGGGGAAGGUCAGUGCUUUGGACAGCUAAUGCAAAAGCUGUUGUUUUGGGGAAUCUCUGAUUAAAUUCUGCACCACUAUAUGAGAUAUAAAUGUAUUUUUACACUGGAGGUACUAUAUGAGUUCUCUGUGCAAUGAAAUUUCAUAAUAACUAUGGGGAAAUAAAGUAAAGCAAAGGUA